rnacentral:rRNA from 1 species
AGUGAACGCUGGCGGUAGGCCUAACACAUGCAAGUCGAACGGCAGCACAGUAAGAGCUUGCUCUUACGGGUGGCGAGUGGCGGACGGGUGAGGAAUACAUCGGAAUCUACUUUUUCGUGGGGGAUAACGUAGGGAAACUUACGCUAAUACCGCAUACGACCUACGGGUGAAAGCAGGGGAUCUUCGGACCUUGCGCGAUUGAAUGAGCCGAUGUCGGAUUAGCUAGUUGGCGGGGUAAAGGCCCACCAAGUGGACGAUCCGUAGCUGGUCUGAGAGGAUGAUCAGCCACACUGGAACUGAGACACGGUCCAGACUCCUACGGGAGGCAGCAGUGGGGAAUAUUGGACAAUGGGCGCAAGCCUGAUCCAGCCAUACCGCGUGGGUGAAGAAGGCCUUCGGGUUGUAAAGCCCUUUUGUUGGGAAAGAAAAGCAGCAGGUUAAUACCCCGCUGUUCUGACGGUACCCAAAGAAUAAGCACCGGCUAACUUCGUG